rnacentral:rRNA from 1 species
AUGGGAAACAAAGGGAAGAAUCUUCAAGGAAAAUCGUUUGGACGAAGAAAAUGCUACAAUUUUGAUAGCCCUAGACACUUUGUGUAUGAUUUUCUGUAUGAGAGACGUGAAGACAAGUCCAAGAAGCUUGUGCUCAAGAAGAAGAAGUUCACCAAGUUCACAAAGAGGAAAGAUGAAAAGGCUCUAGUUCAUGAAGAAUACAUGUCCGGAGAUGAAGAUGAUGGUGAUGAUGACCAUGUGGGCACGACCGCCAUUUCCAUGCACACCACUACCUCCUCCACCACCGUCCUCUUCAACUCUCCAAACGAGGACAAGCCUUUCACUCAUCGGUGCUUUAUGGCCAAAGAGGUAAAAAUAAAGCCUAAAUCUCAAAAACCCGCCAUCUACACUCCCAAUGUCUCAUGUGAGAUAGUGGAGUAUGAGUGUGAAGUGGGCGUUGAUAAUGAUGAGUAA